GGAGAGGUGCUGGAGUGGCUGAACAGGCGCGCCUGGAAAGCGCGUGUCUCGAGCAAUCGUGACCGCGGGUUCGAAUCCCGCUCUCUCCG
rnacentral:tRNA from 1 species